rnacentral:rRNA from 1 species
UACAGAGGUCUCAAGCGUUGUUCGGAUUCAUUGGGCGUAAAGGGUGCGUAGGCGGCGCGGUAAGUCGGGUGUGAAAUUUCGAGGCUUAACUUCGAAACUGCAUUCGAUACCGCCGUGCUAGAGGACUGGAGAGGAGACUGGAAUUUACGGUGUAGCGGUGAAAUGCGUAGAUAUCGUAAGGAAGACCAGUGGCGAAGGCGGGUCUCUGGACAGUUCCUGACGCUGAGGCACGAAGGCCAGGGGAGCAAACGGG